rnacentral:lncRNA from 10 species
UUCAGUUAUUUUAUCAGUGGAAAUGCUUCAGAUCUUUCUAAAAUGGUGGUGCAGGUCUGCUGGAGUUUGCUGGAGGUCCACUCCAGACCCUGUUUGCCUGGGUAACACCAUCAGAAGCUGCAAAACAGCAAAGAUUGCUGCCUGUUCCUUCCUCUGGAAGAUUUGUCCCAGAGGGGCACCCGCCAGAUGCCAGCCAGACCUCUCCUGUAUGAGGUGUCUGUCAGCCCCUACUGGGAGAUGACUCCCAGUCAGGAUGCACGGGGGUCAGGUACCCACUGACGAGGCACUCUGUCUCUUAUCAGAGCUUGAACGCUGGGCCAGGAGAUCUGCUGCUCUCUUCAGAGUUGUCAGGAAGGGAUGUUUAAGUCUGCUGAAGCUGCACCCACCCACAGCUGCCCCUUCCCCCAGGUGCUCUGUCCCAGGGAGAUGGGGUUUUAUCUGUAAGUCCCUGACUGGGGCUGCUGCCUUUUUUUCAGAGAUGUCCUGCUCAGAGAUGAGGAAUCAUAAGCAAUUAGAUCUUUAAAAUGACUUUACAUUAGCCUACUUUCUUCCCAUAUGUACCAUAUAUAUGGUAUAAUCUGUAUGGGAAAGGAGGCAUUUCAAGGUUUAAAAGAAUAUAAAUUUUGGAUUUAAUGUUUUUGAUCUUAACAUAUUUGUGUCUCAACAGGGAAGACAAUUAGAAAUGUAACAAGAGGGUUCUAUUUGAUUCAUUUAAAAAAUGGAAAGUGGCACCCAGGGUGAGGCUGGCAUGUCAAACAAUUACUGAGAGCAAUGCCACCAUUUGCCUUUGUGUGUGUGUGUGUGUGUGUGUGUGAAUUAGGAUCUGUUUUUUAAUGGUCACUCUAUUUACAUAGUAACAUUCCUUGAAGCAAUAUAUGCAGAUUCAUUCUCGACAUAAGUUUUUUUGCUUUUGCUAAAAUAGUUUUUGCUUAAAAUUACUCCCUCUCUUUUCUGGCUACAACUACUUCCCAUCUUCUCCUUGAUUUUUUCAAUGACUUAGGAAAAGAUUAACAUGAUUUAAGUCCCGUUUCUCAUGACUGUAAUUACAAGACUAGUUUAGUUCCACUUUCUUGUAGACGAAUUCCUACAUUUUGCUGAUGUUUUGGCCCAUUCUUAUAAACUCCACUGUCUGGGGAGCAGGAAGCAUUCUGACAAAUUGUCUCUUUGGGAACAGAAGUAUAUUUUAUUGAGUCAAUUAUCUUGAUAAAUCACGUUAUAUUUGAGUUUUUGUAGUUUUGUGGAUAAACAUUUUUACUUGGAAUCCCUUUGUUGUUCACUGUGUUAGCACCCAUGAUUCAAACAAUCCUUGAUCUUGUCAUUAGUAGUAUAUGUAGAGAAGAAUUCACUGUAGGAAUUUAAGAAGUGACUUUUCAACACAGCUUCUCUAAUACAGUAUUUAAUAUCCCACACAUAAUUCAAAAUAAAAGUAAGAAAUAAAAGUCUAUUGGAAAGACUUAGCACAAAAUUCAGUGUAAGAUUCCAUGUAAGAAAUAUUGAUUAGAACAUAUUCUACGAGAGUCUAGAGAUGAGGUUUAUGUCUCAAAUGUUUGUUUUAAGCUUAUUAGAAAUACCAUCUAUUAGUAAAAAUUACUUCUUUGGAAUGAGAUGAGAAAAUUCUGAAUAUGGACUCAGAUGCCAAAAUAUGUUAAUAGCAUAAAAUACAGACAUGAACUGAGAAGGCGGUUUCACCAAAGACACAAGAGAAAUUAAAUCACAUACAUUUUACAAUGUAAACUAAAAUAGACUAUACAAAAAUACCUUGCUAACAGAGAAAUGGGUCAUCAGUCUGUUGUUGUUACUUUUUUUGUUGCUGUUUCUUAAUGGUUACUUAAUACCUACCUGUAGUGCAAUUAUAUGUUGUAGAAUUCUGUCACAAAAAAAAGGCCUAAACCAACGGGAUGACUUAAAAGAAAAAUAAACAUUUCAAAGAUUCAAGUAAUUUAUCAGGAAAUACUGAAAGUACAUCCUAUAAUUUUUUUUAAAACUUGAAAAUUGCACCUCACAUUUUGUCUGGAGAGUUAGGCAACAUCUGUAUUUUUCAACUUUGUCAGUUAUUCAGGACCUAUUACAGACCACACAACUUUGAGCUUUGAAAGAAAUCCACAGAUAUAUAAUUUAACUCAUUGUGUAGCUAAGGAAAUAGGACUGAAGAAAUUAAUGAUUUACUGGACAUCAAGUUACAUGUAAGCCGAUUUUUAACCUAGAUUUCCAAAUGUCCACUCCAAUGCUUUCACCACUAUUGCCUGGUAGGUAUCACAUAUUAUUAAGUUUGUUUUGUGUUUUAUGGAUUAUAUUUAGCAUAAUUCUGAGACUUAGAAGAGGUUCAAUAAAUGCUUAUUACAUGUAUAAAUGAAAAAUGGCCUGGAGGUAGCAUAAGUCAAUAUUCCAUUUUUCAUCAUAGCUUUCAUCAAACAAAUCUUAUAUUUAUUCCUGGAAUCUAUUGCACACCACAAAUCAAAUGUGCAUAGCAAAUAGAUUUUUUUUAAACCUAGCCCGGCCAAAUUGAUCUUGAACUUCUCCGUGCUUGUUCAACAAUUCUGGUGCAGAGUUUAAAAAACUUGUAGGUUUUAUUUUGAGGUUACAAGUUUCAGUCUGGGACUGAAAAGAUAUAAUAGUAAUCUGCAAAGUUCAAGGAUGUGUAAUUCUGGGAGCUCAGAAAGAAUUCAUAGCUCUUGUUCUCAGGAGCUCUGCAAACAAAGAUGCCAAAGGCAUAUCAGAUUGCCUUCUAAUACAGGGAGUAACAAGUAACAAUGACACAUUGAUUGCUUACUUAUGAAAAUUAUUUCCAUAAUGAUAUAAUAUUAGAAGACAAAUUCAGCUGCCUGACCUGCACAGGAGAUUGAAUUGAACGUAGGGUGUUAAAUCAGAGUGGAGUAGGGUUUGAAAAAACAGAAUAAAAGCAAUACCUAGGAAAACUACUGGGGUAGGGCAGAACAUGAGUUCUGAAAUAAGAAGAUCUGAACUUGAAAUGCUUCUUUACUGUGCAAUGUAGACAAUAUAAUCUGCUGAGCUCAAUUAGCUCAUGUAUAACCUGGAGUGAAGAUGCCUGUCUUGUACGGUUAUUGUAAGGAUAAAACAGGAUUCGGGGGAGAACCAGCCAGUGUAGGCAUUACCCAUUUUUGUGUUGUUUCAAAUAUAUUUUUUAUAUUUUAGAUACGUGUGUGUGCGUGUGUGUGUGUGUGUAUGUAUGUGUGUGUCUUCAUUGCUACAUUGAACAGUUUGACCCUAAGUAACUCACAAAUAGCAUUCUAGAGGUGCUUCAAAAAUACUAAGGAAGUCUAACCUUCUAGAUGUUAAAAUACAACUUUUAUACUGGUUCUACUUGCCUUCAAUGGAAAUUAUUGAAGAAAAAAUCAGCUGGGAAUGAGAAAAUAAUAAAACUGCUUUGAAAUGAUGAAGUAAAGAAAGUAGCUUGGAAAAAACAUGCCUGAAGGCAGGUCACAACUUGAAAUACAGUUACUAUGUUCCAUAAUGGGCAGAGUAAUAGAGUGUGUCUAAAGUACAACCAAAGUAGUCUAGUACACCACAAUAUCACAAUAUCCAGUAGUCCCCCCCACCUCUCUCUUUAAGCUCCCUCUGUCCUUUCUCUCUCUUUUCUGUCUUCUCUCUCUCUCUCUCCUCUCUCUCUGUACACUCUCUUUCUUCUCUCUGACUCCUCCCUCUCCUCUCUGACUCCUCUCUCUCCUUUCUCCUCCACCCUAUUCACAGGUUGGAUAACGUUUCUGAUUUAUUUGACAAAGGAUAUAGCUAUUCAGCUAGAAUGCAUGAGCCACUGAGAGCAAGUACGAAGCCAGUACACCUUGGCGGAGCUUCGUGAGGCCCAUCAGAUUCUCAGGUUGGAAUGCCAGGAAGUGUUGUUAGUGUUAGGAAGAUUCCAUGUGUAAGGCAGGAGCUCACUAGAUCUGAAGAGCUUAACAUAUGGCUGUACCAUAACUCUUUUUCAAUAGGGCUUACAAUGUUCUUUAGGGCAGCAUGUAGAUUUAAUAUUUCUAUUAAAGGGAAUGCUUGCAGACAUUAGGAGCCUCCAGGUUUUUAAGUCAACACAGCAUCAGGACCAUAUUGUUAUCCUGUGAAGAGCAAGGUGGCUGAUUUCUCUUCUUAUAUCCAGAUACAUUCUGGAUAAUCCAUUCCCCACAGUUACAGUCUGACUCUGGAUUUUGGAAUAUCUUUUUAUGAAAUGGAUAGGUCUGAUAAUGAAUUGGGUAAUUGGGUCUUAGGACUAGAAUCUUAAAUCCAUUCUCAAUUUUUAUGAAGUCACCAACCUUUUACACACAUGCUUUAAAAAAACCUGUCUACGAACAGAAACUCACUCCUGUGCUUAUCACCUGAUAGAAGAACAAAACUGAAUAUAAAACUCACAUAAUUUGUAUUGCUCAGUGUAUAACGCAUUAAAAACAAAUUUAUUUUUCUUUGAGGAAACUUUGUACUGCAUUCCCCUUUUUAAGAUCAUCAACUCGUUCCCCCUUUAAAUGCCUAAAUCAACACUAAUUAGAUUCGAGCAGCCAUUUCUUCAUGCUGGCCUUUUAUUUUUGUCCUCUUAUUUUUUCCCUUAACUCACCUAAAUCUUCCUCUCCUUUUUUAUCUUUUCUCCCUUCCUCCCUCCUUAUUGCACAUAAUUCAAAUAUCAAAAAUAUAAAGUUAUUUAAUGAAACAUUGCUUCCCCACUAGCUCUCUACUUUCUCAGUAUAUAUCUUGCCUCCUUCAUUACUCGGGUAAUCACUAUCACUUGUUUCUUUUUUCACUUAUAAAGAAUUUUUAUAUAAAUGCAAACCAAUAAAACAGGAAAUUUCAUUUCGUCUUUUAAAACUACAAGUAAUAACAUAUUAUACACGUUUUAUUCAACAACAGAUUGUAUUCAACCUUCUGCUGUUAAGAAGAGUUGCAAUAAAUAACCUCAUACAUGCAUCACUUCACACAUAUUAAUUAUAUCUCAAGAUAAUUCCUAGGUGUCACUUUGAUAAAUAUUACCAAAAUGCUCACCAAAGAUGCUGUACCAAUUUAUACUCUCAUCAGCCAUAGAUUAAAAUCUAUCCCAAAAUUCUUCCAGUUGAAUAUGUCAUGAACUUUUGGAUUUUUACCAAUCUGAAUGGGAAGAGGGAAACAUGUUUUUUCAGUGUUGUUUAAAUCUGUAUUUCUGUGUUGUGAAUAAGGUUAAAUAUCUUUUAAAAUAUUUUUAAAAAACUAUAUUUGCAUUCCUGUGAACUGUCUUUGCAUAUUCUUUGCCCACUUUUUUCUUUUGGGCUGUUGAUGAUUUUCUUAUCAAGUGGUAGGUCUUUAUAUGCCAGGAAGAUUAAGCUUUUGUGACAAAAAUUGGGAAUAUAUUUUUAAAUUUAGUUUGCCAUUUGCCUUUUUGACUACAUUGAUAAUGUUUAUUUUAUGUGUUGCCAUGCAAAAAUUUAAUUUUUAUGUAGUCAAAUGUAUUCAUUUUUUUCUCCCUACAGCCUCUGAAUAUUAUAUCAUAAUGAGAAAGUUUUUGUUUCUAAACUGAGGCUAUAAAUUAAUUCUUUCAUGUUUUCUUCUAUGAUUUUGUAUUCCAUAAUAAAUAUUUAACUUAUUUAAAUAUUUC